ensembl:snRNA U4 U4 spliceosomal RNA
AGCUUUGUGCAGUGGCAGUAUCGCAGCCAAUGAGGUUUAUCCAAGGUUCGAUUAUUGCUAACUGAAAUAGGACCUCACCAUGUAGCCUAGGCUAGAUUCCAACUUAUGAUCCUCCUGCCUCAUCCUCCUGCCUCAGCCUCCCAAGACUCUGGAAUUACAGACAUGUGCCACCCUGCCUGGAUAUAGCUUAAUUCAGAAUUCUAGAAUUUUAGUGUAAGGAAGGGGAUCCUUCCU